CAAAAUUAGCACAUUCCAAUAUUUUUCUGUGCUUAUUCUUUUUCAAAUAAAUUUCACAUUUUACAUUUCUCUGCAUCUCACCAUAUUAAUUAAGUCAAGAUUUGUCCAUUAAAAACUACAUGAAUUACCAUAAUAUGUCCUACUCACAAAAUUCAAGUGAAUAGUGAGUCCAGAUUUUUACGUUUUAGAAUUCAAAACCAGCAAAAUGCGAAAGCCAACCAAAAAAUUCAUAACAGGACUAGAUUAAAAGUGGUCUUUCAUGUAAAUUGCAUAAUUAUAAAAGCCCAUAUUGUACUAAACAAAUCAAGCAAUUGACAUGAAACUCUAUCAACAAAGCAUAAUCAAAAAUUAAAGUUUGAGCAGAGCGAAAAGAUUUGUACAAAUUUUUCUAAAACUAAGAAAAAGGGAAAUCGGAGGAAAAACUCCAACCAAUUGAUGUGGAGGCGGACCCCGCCACCAACAAUGGGAGAGCCAAUGCUGCACUCAUACCUCAACAAAAAUCAUUGUGGGCCAAUGAGUCAUUUCAGCCUCCUGCCUCCAACUCCGCUUCCUGCGGUGGCUGUCAACACCGCACGCGGCAGCGAUCUUCAUCAGAACAUUCUCAAAUUCGGACUUUCGACAAGGAAUCUGGAUCCCACCCGGAUGAAUGAACCCGUAAACCUUCUCAGCUUCCCUUAAAAGAAAGAGAGACUACAGAUUGGGAGAGAGGGUAAGAGAGACAUAUCUAAGUUUAGGGGUUUGAGUUGGGUUUUUUUAUUUUUGUGCAUGGGCUACUUUUAAUUUGAAUACGGGCUGAUGCUGAUAUGCUGAUGGGCUAAUAAAAAAUAUGUGAAAAAACAAAGCUAAACUAAUGUACCUGGAUUGAGGCUGGCACGGGCUGUAGCACGGUCCAGCCCGUGCCUAGAUCCGCCUGUGGCUACCAUGUCAUACAUUAUACGCAUCACAUUACUGCUUCCAAGCAUGAAUGACAUAUCACUGCUACCAUGUCAUACAUUAUUUUCAUCACGGCCAAUAUGUAUGUCGUAUCAUCAUUAUUUUCAUUUUAUUGUUAACAUCAUAUUACUUGCUUCACUAUAGCAC
rnacentral:lncRNA from 1 species